UACGGAGGGGGCUAGCGUUGUUCGGAAUUACUGGGCGUAAAGCGCACGUAGGCGGCUUUGCAAGUUAGAGGUGAAAGCCCGGGGCUCAACUCCGGAAUUGCCUUUAAAACUGCAUCGCUAGAAUUGUGGAGAGGUAAGUGGAAUUCCGAGUGUAGAGGUGAAAUUCGUAGAUAUUCGGAAGAACACCAGUGGCGAAGGCGUCUUACUGGACACAUAUUGACGCUGAGGUGCGAAAGCGUGGGGAGCAAACAGG
rnacentral:rRNA from 1 species